rnacentral:lncRNA from 1 species
UUGCGGGAGAGUCCCAUAGAUAUAUGAGAGAGAUUUGAAGAAUAUGUUAUGAUUUUCCCGGGAAAAUGUUGUGUGUGUGUGUUUUCAGGGACGAUGUGAUUUGUUGUUGUAGAGUGGAAUGAAAACGAGUGAAGAAGAAAGUGUUGGCAUUGUUGUUAAUGAAUGAAAUGAAUUAAUUGAUUUCGUAGUUGGAAGAUUUGGUUUUGUUUUGUCUUUCUUUUCAAUACUCCCUCAUUUUUGUCAACCGGAUUCUCUCUCUCUCUUACA